GCUAGAAGCUCAUUCUGAAAUGGGGAGCACUGAAAUUUUGGAAAAGGAGACCCCAGAAAAUCUCAGUAAUGGUACCAGCAGCAAUGUGGAAGCAGCCAAAAGGUUGGCCAAACGCCUUUAUCAGCUGGACAGAUUCAAAAGAUCAGAUGUUGCAAAACACCUUGGCAAGAACAACGAAUUUAGCAAACUAGUUGCAGAAGAAUAUCUGAAGUUUUUUGAUUUUACAGGAAUGACGCUGGAUCAGUCACUCAGAGUCUCGCUCUGUCACCCAGGCUGGAGUGCAGUAGCACCAUCUUGGCUCACUGCAACCUCCACCUCCCAGGUUCAAGCAGUUCUCCUGAAUCAGCCUCCCGAAUAACUGGGACUACAGGAAAAUGAAUCUACAUUGUCAAGUGAGGGUCAUCUGGAUUCAUCUCAAAUAAACAGUGCUCUUAGUGACUCCGAGUA
rnacentral:lncRNA from 10 species